CGCGUAGGUGGCGUGGUAAGCGUGCGGUGAAAGCCCGGGGCUCAACUCCGGGUCGGCCGUGCGAACUGCCAUGCUUGAGCACGGUAGAGGCCAAUGGAAUUCCGGGUGUAGCGGUGGAAUGCGUAGAGAUCCGGAAGAACACCGGUGGCGAAGGCGGUUGGCUGGGCCGUUGCUGACACUGAGGCGCGACAGCGUGGGGAGCAAACAGGAUUAGAUACCCUGGUAGUCCACGCCGUAAACGAUGGGCACUAGGUGCUUGGGGGAGCGACCCCUUGAGUGCCGGCGCUAACGCAUGAAGUGCCCCGCCUGGGGAGUACGGCCGCAAGGCUGAA
rnacentral:rRNA from 1 species